AGCUCAAAUUUGAAAUCUGACGUUCAUACUGACGUCCGAGUUGUAAUUUGGAGGAGCGUCUUCGGGAACCAGCGCCGUUCUAAGUUCUUUUGGAACCAGACAUCACAGAGGGUGAGAAUCCCGUGCCUGGGCGGUAGUCUGGUACCCAUACGAAGCGUUUCCGACGAGUCGAGUUGUUUGGGAAUGCAGCUCAAAAUGGGUGGUAAAUUUCAUCUAAAGCUAAAUACAGGCGAGAGACCGAUAGCGCACAAGUAGAGUGAUCGAAAGAUGAAAAGCACUUUGAAAAGAGAGUUAAACAGUACGUGAAAUUGUUGAAAGGGAAGCGCUUGAGAUUGAACUAUUGGACAGGGUGGAUCUGUACAGGAGUUCGGCUCCAAUGCACCCAUCCAUCCUCCCUCCAGCCACCAUCGGUUUCAGCGGCGAGAAAAACGACUUGGGGAAUGUGGCUCCUCUCGGGGAGUGUUUAUAGACCCAGGUCGGUUUGCGCCAGCCAGGACCGAGGUAACAAGAGCGAGCUUGGGGUUCGCCUCAAGAACUCAAGGAUGU
rnacentral:rRNA from 1 species